AGGGCUGUGGGGGCACAUAUGGGCGUUGCAGGGCCUCUCCCCCCAUCCGGUCUAAGGAGAACCAGGCUUUCGGUUUCAUCGGGACGAAGUUCUCCUCCUGCUCCCGACACUGUUUGUUUUGACUAUCCUAUCGAUAUAGGCUCGCGCCAAGAGAGAAGAUAUGUGGAUAUGAAAUUUUUAUUUAAAACAAAGUUAUCGGUAAUACAUUCGUAAGUUUUUCGAGCUCCAUGGCC
rnacentral:lncRNA from 1 species